rnacentral:rRNA from 1 species
UACGGAGGGGGCUAGCGUUGUUCGGAAUGACUGGGCGUAAAGCGCGCGUAGGCGGGCUGGAAAGUCAGGGGUGAAAUCCCGGGGCUCAACCUCGGAAUUGCCUUUGAAACUCCCAGCCUUGAGUUCGAGAGAGGUGAGUGGAAUUCCGAGUGUAGAGGUGAAAUUCGUAGAUAUUCGGAGGAACACCAGUGGCGAAGGCGGCUCACUGGCGCGACACUGACGCUGAGGUGCGAAAGCGUGGGGAGCAAACAGG